CUUGCUUUCUCGAGCGAGUGGCGAACGGGUGAGUAACGCGUGAGGAACCUGCCUUGUACAGGGGGAUAACAGUUGGAAACGGCUGCUAAUACCGCAUAAGCGCACGGCAUCGCAUGAUGCAGUGUGAAAAACUCCGGUGGUGUGAGAUGGACCCGCGUCUGAUUAGCUAGUUGGCAGGGCAACGGCCCACCAAGGCGACGAUCAGUAGCCGGCCUGAGAGGGUGAACGGCCACAUUGGGACUGAGACACGGCCCAAACUCC
rnacentral:rRNA from 1 species